UACAGAGGGUGCAAGCGUUAAUCGGAUUUACUGGGCGUAAAGCGUGCGUAGGCGGUUCAUUAAGUCGGUUGUGAAAUCCCUGGGCUUAACCUGGGAACUGCAGUCGAUACUGGUGGACUAGAAUGCGGUAGAGGGUGGCGGAACUCCGGGUGUAGCGGUGAAAUGCGUAGAUAUCCGGAAGAACACCGAUGGCGAAGGCCACCACCUGGGCCUGCAUUGACGCUGAGGUACGAAAGCGUGGGGAGCAAACAGG
rnacentral:rRNA from 1 species